CGUGCUAAGGUAGCAUAAUCAUUAGCCUCUUAAUUAGAGGCUCGUAUGAACGGUGAAACAUUUCAAUUACUUUUUUACUUAAUAUAUUUAAAUUUAAAUUAAGAAUAAAAAUGUUCUUAUUUAUAAAAUAGACGAUAAGACCCUUUUGAACUUCACUCUAGUUUAGCUGGGGCAGCUAAAAAAUAAUAAUCUUAUUUUUGAUAUUUAAAUAAUGACCCAAUAAAAUUGAUUACAUGAACAAGUUACCAUAGGGAUAACAGCGUAAUAUCUUUUUAAAGCUCUUAUUAAAAAAGAAGAUUGCGACCUCGAUGUUGAAUUAAUGUAACUUUAAUGCAGUAAUUUUAAAAGUAGGUCUGUUCGACCUUUAAAACAUUACAUGAUUUGAGUUCAAAUCGGUGUAAACCAGAUUGGUUUCUAUCUUUUAUUUUUAUUUAUUCAGUACGAAAGGACCAAUAAAUUUAUUUUUAAU
rnacentral:rRNA from 1 species